UACGUAGGGGGCAAGCGUUGUCCGGAUUUAUUGGGCGUAAAGAGCGUGUAGGCGGCCAGGUAGGUCAGCUGUGAAAACUCGAGGCUCAACCUCGAGACGCCGGUUGAGACCAUCGUGGCUAGAGUCCGGAAGAGGAGAGUGGAAUCCUGGUGUAGCGGUGAAAUGCGCAGAUAUCAGGAGGAACACCGGUGGCGAAGGCGGGUCUCUGGGCAGUAACUGACGCUGAGGAGCGAAAAGCGUGGGGAGCGAACAGG
rnacentral:rRNA from 1 species